GGCCGUGGUGGGGGAGGAAGAAAGCCAGGCACUCUGUGGAGAAAGAGGAAGGUGGACAAGUGUGCGCAGCAGGUGGCCGAGAGCAUGACUUCAGCUUGCUGCUUUAAGGCCGUUUUAGCAGGACGAUGGAGAGAGGUUUCAGGGAUUGCUGAUACAAAAUUGGCUGAAUGUUUCAGGAGGGACUCUGGAGAACCUUAAGGUGGAGUGCGUCCGGAGUCUCUUACAGUACCGUAGCUGCAGUGGACUUCUCUCUUUUUCUUUUUUUUUUUUAAAGAGAAAUCUCUUUUUUGACAGUCAUCUUUUGAUGUGUUUAUUAUUUUUGGCAGGAAAAAAAGUGACUUCAGCACCUCUUUGCUAUUAUUUUAUGAAUUCAGAUUGAGAAACUGUAUAAUUUGACCACAGAGUGUUCAACGACCUCCCGGGUACAUGCAGGAUGUUUGUGUGGUACAAACCAGCAGACAGACAGACUGGUGUGAAAGUGCUGAAAUGUAGACGUGAAGCGGGUCUCCCAUACAUUUAAACACACUGCUCUACUUUUGUGUCUGGCAUGACCCGUUUGGGUUUCCUUGUCUUUAUGUUCUCACUUUAUAAAUAAAAGCUGUUUGAGGAAGAGA